GAUGAACGCUAGCUACAGGCUUAACACAUGCAAGUCGAGGGGAAACGAUAGAGAAAGCUUGCUUUUUCUAGGCGUCGACCGGCGCACGGGUGAGUAACGCGUAUCCAACCUGCCCAUCACUUGGGGAUAACCUUGCGAAAGUAAGACUAAUACCCAAUGACGUCUCUAGAAGACAUCUGAAAGAGAUUAAAGAUUUAUCGGUGAUGGAUGGGGAUGCGUCUGAUUAGCUUGUUGGCGGGGGAACGGACCACCAAGGCGACGAUCAGUAGGGGUUCUGCGAGGAAGGUCCCCCACAUUGGAACUGAGACACGGUCCAAACGCCUACGGGAGGCAGCAGUGAGGAAUAUUGGUCAAUGGGCGAGAGCUUGAACCAGCCAAGUAGCGUGCAGGAUGACGGCCCUAUGGGUUGUAAACUGCUUUUAUAAGGGAAUAAAGUGAGUCUCGUGUGACUUUUUGCAUGUACCUUAUGAAUAAGGACCGGCUAAUUCCGUGCCAGCCGCCGCAGUAA
rnacentral:rRNA from 1 species